CUGCGACCCCAGGUCAGGCGGGAUCACCCGCUGAGUUUAAGCAUAUCAAU
rnacentral:rRNA from 1 species